rnacentral:lncRNA from 1 species
AGAUAAGCAGGAACAAACAGGAAAUCACUCUCUUCUCUGCGUAGAUACUUAGCAGCCGUCAUAUAGCAGGCAAAGGAGUUGCAGGUUCGGCAUUCUCCGGGAACCACAGAAAACCGGGGGCCUUCACUCACCUUUCCUAAGAACAUGAAGAAAUCCAAAAUGGUGGCUUUCUAGAUGGAUGACAGAGGAAAUGUUGAGCCCCUCUUUAAAGUCCUCUGGAAGGGCGUGGCUUUUUCACCUCUGGCUAAACAGGAGCUUUCUUCCUCAUCAGAGCCUGAAGCUUUUGAUCCUCCAUCUCCCGCUUAUUCGCAGACUAUGCAUACACAACUUCUCAGCCAGGGGCAUGGACUCAAGAACAGGCUUCCAUCCCAUGCUCCUGUGUUCACUGAAUUGAUCCUGGGAAGUUCUUGUGUAGGCAGACGCAGCAGCUGUGAGUUCAUGAGAGCUGGAACCUUGAGAAUCCAGAAGGACAGAACAUGCAGAGAAAUGCAUACGAACAAUCUUCCCCAACUUCAGAUCAGCGGUCCAACCUGGAGUUCAUCUCACCCCUGAUGGAAAAUCAUAGGUCUGCUUUUUCAUCUCAGUGCCUCCUGGCAGCCUGGAGUGCCCACCCCACUGUGACCCAGGAAAAACAAUCUUCAGAGCUCCUCUUCCAGCUUCCCAUCCCAAGAGAAGAGCUGCUUCCUGAUGUUGUCCCUGCCCUUGGAGGACUGUUUAAAUGGACUUCUCAAUAAACCAUGGCUGCUCGGCAUCAGCUGGGAGCCCUUCUGAG